rnacentral:lncRNA from 1 species
CCCUGCGUGGUGACGGGACCCUCCGCCUGGGGCCCUUGACCUUCAGGGGUUAAGGCUAACUCGGGCCCAGCUCCGCUGACCCGCACGCUGACCCGGGGGCCCCAUUGUCGGGUGGAACGGCAGCGCCCCCAAGUUCCGCCCGCUGCCCGGCAACCUGUCUGCUCUCGUCCCUAGCAGUUGGAGGCACUUGUGCCCUCUGUGAGCGGCUCUGCCGUCUCGCACUGCCCACCUCGACGCGAGUGUCGAGUUCGUGGAGGAGGCGCAGCUCGCGCCCGCGACUGGUCAGUCAGACAUGAAGGAAGACCCAGAGACCCUGCUGGCCCUGGAAAGAGCAAAAAUAAUUGCCCAGUAUGAUCAGGGACGCCAGGCAGGGGUUCCAGUGGAUCCGCAGGAAGACCCCGAGCUCCCCUUUCCAAGGUCACCGACCGCCUCGGUUUCCUGCAGUGAGUCACCUGGACGCCCGCUCUUUUCAUCUCAGGGAUGGUUUCUGUUGGUGGAAACACCUCUCUGGAGGCAGGACCCGUCUCCCCAGCUCAGAGCCUCGUCCCCUGGUGCCCACUGCAGUCCAGGGUCUACAGUCGGCUCCAGCUGAGAGACCAGAAGGGGCCUCGAUGGUGGGCAGGGGUGGAGCAGGGCCCUGGCCGGGCUGGGACACUCAGCAGUGUGGCCUCCACGCCUGCAUGAGGGAGGGCGUGAUGGUGUCCACCCACAGUCAGAGGGCACGUCCAGCCUGGCCAGCAGUGGCUCCACAGGGUGUGACCACAGAGUGAGGGGCGCCUGGCCCAGCCUGUGGGCAGCUGUCCAGCAGGUCUCCAAGGGCACAGGUGGUUCCAGUGUAGCGGCCACAUGGGCACAGGCACAAGGGGCAGCCAGGGAUGUGGCCUCUGGCAUUGACAGGAUAGGCAGGGGGCGCGUUCAGACAGGACCUGGCCUGGGAACCUCCUGGGAAGGGGACAGAGGCAGGCGGAGUUGGAAGGCAGCUGAAGACGGCCUGACCCCCGGUCUGGGGCUGGGAGGAGAUUGGGGAUGGAGGCCGGGCCUUGGUGGCGACAGAGA